GUGAGUAGCAAGGAUUUUAAAAGGGACGCCGAAGUUGCCUGCUUUCUCCUCGACAGAUGAGCAUCUUGGCGCAAUUGCAGAAGCCCCUGAAAUUGAGAACCUUGAACAGAGGAUCAGCUUUCCAGGAGACUGCAAAUUUAGAAUGAUGGCCCAUGUUGCUUCAAAGGCACCAUACAAAAAGGAAGGGUUCAUGUGUAAAUACCAUAAUUUGUUAAUUUCUGUAAAUAAAUAUAUUGCAAAUAACAUUGUU